GUAUCGGGAAACCGGUAUAGUGGCGAACGGGCGAGUAACGCGAUGGUGACCUGCCCCGAAGUGGGGGACAACAGCUCGAAAGGGCUGCUAAUACCCCAUGUGGCCUGGAGGGUUAGAUACCUCCAGUUUAAAGGAGUAAUUCGCUUCGGGAGGGGCCUGCGUCCCAUCAGCUAGUUGGUAGGGUAAUGGCCUACCAAGGCUUCGACGGGUAGGGGACCUGAGAGGGUGGCCCCCCACAAUGGAACUGAAACACGGUCCAUACACCUACGGGUGGCAGCAGUAGGGAAUAUUGCACAAUGGGCGAAAGCCUGAUGCAGCAACGCCGCGUGUACGACGAAGGCCUUCGGGUCGUAAAGUACUUUUCGGGGAGAUGAGGAAGGACAGUAUCCCCGGAAUAAGGAUCGGCUAACUACGUGCCAGCAGCCGCGGUAAAACGUAGGAUCCGAGCGUUAUCCGAAUUUACUGGGCGUAAAGCGCGUGCAGGCGGCGCGGUAAGUUGGAUGUGAAAUCUCCUGGCUCAACUGGGAGAGGUCGUUCAAUACUGCCGUGCUCGAGGAUGGUAGAGGGAGGUGGAAUUCCCGGUGUAGUGGUGAAAUGCGUAGAUAUCGGGAGGAACACCAGUGGCGAAGGCGGCCUCCUGGACCAUUCCUGACGCUCAGACGCGAAAGCUAGGGUAGCGAACGGGAUUAGAAACCCCGGUAGUCCUAGCCGUAAACGAUGU
rnacentral:rRNA from 1 species